GACGAACGCUGGCGGCGUGCUUAACACAUGCAAGUCGAACGGAAAGGCCCUGCUUUUGCGGGGUGCUCGAGUGGCGAACGGGUGAGUAACACGUGAGUAACCUGCCCUUGACUGUGGGAUAACUCCAGGAAACUGGGGCUAAUACCGGAUAUGAGCUCCUGCUGCAUGGUGGUGGUUGGAAAGUUUCGGCGGUUGGGGAUGGACUCGCGGCUUAUCAGCUUGUUGGUGGGGUAGUGGCUUACCAAGGCUUUGACGGGUAGCCGGCCUGAGAGGGUGACCGGCCACAUUGGGACUGAGAUACGGCCCAGACUCCUACGGGAGGCAACAGUGGGGAAUAUUGCACAGUGAGCGGGAGCCUGAUGCAGCAGCGCCGCGUGCGGGAUGACGGCCUUCGGGUUGUAAACCGCUUUCGCCUGUGACGAAGCGUGAGUGACGGUAAUGGGUAAAGAAGCACCGGCUAACUACGUG
rnacentral:rRNA from 1 species